GUGAAAAUACUGUUUCGUCGUACGAUCACCGAAGUUAAGCAACGUCGAGCCUAGUCAGAAUACCUAGAUGGGUGACCGCUUGGGAAUACCAGGUGCUGUA